rnacentral:lncRNA from 1 species
AAAUGUAGCAAAACCCUUUAAAUUUAAAAGGAAUAAGCUUUCAAAGUAUUGAUCUUUUUAAAAGCAUUGGCUCGAGUUUGGAAUCCGAUAUUCGGCUUGUCGAUGGUCCAAAGAUUCAUUCGACAAGAGCAUCGAUGCGUGCGUGAUUAAAGAAGAAAGAUUUCUACAUGUUAUUUUCGGUGCUCAACAAAACCAAAGAUGUGAGAAUGGAAGUUCGAGCAGCUUGACACAACGAGAGGAGGAGGCUGCUGGACCCUGUGUUGGUUGAAACAGGGAGUUUAUUUGUUUUCUGUAAAUAAAUAAAUAAUAUCUCAAAAACCCUAAAAAUUUGAAAAAUUAAAAACCAAAAAUAUGUGUUUAGUUUGUUAAAAAAAUUAAAAAAAAACCAAAAAUAUGUUUGUUUUUAAUUUUUCUUAAAAAAAUAAUAGAAAAUUACAAAAAUAUGUGUUGAUUGAAUAUGCCGAAACCCUCACGGCGGAACAAACAUGAUUACUUUCACAAGAUUGAAAAAUGGUUUCAAACUGUCGAAAAUCUAUGGGUUGUGAAUCAUGGGGAUACUUUAUGUUAGAUUUUCUGCAAACCAGAGCACAUUAAGCAGAAAAUGGAUGGCGAGACAAAGCUAUCAGUAUUGGUUGUCAAAUUUUCUUUAAAUGAUUUUGCAUUUUAGGGGGAGUAUUAUUGUCAGAAAAUACAAAAACAUUAGAAAAUUUGAAAAAGCCAAAAACAUGAUAAAAUUCGAAAAUUGAGUUUUUGUGUAAAAAGAGGAAAUGAUAGUACAUCAGUAGACAGUUACAGUAUGCUAAAGAAAUGUAAUGAUUAAAUAGCGUUAAACAGUUUCACCGAUGAUAUGCCGAUAGAUUUUUAUACAUUUAGUAAACUUUUUCAGGAUAUAAACCUAAAUUCAAACUUGCUUAUUUCGUGGGGAACACUACUUGGAUAUAUAGGUAACCCCUGAAAUUUCGUUUGAAAGGUCCCUCUUUCUGAGAUACUAGGUCUUUAUACUCAGUGAUAUCUGGGGUAUUAUCCCGGGACUUCUGAUUUUGCGGAAGCAAUGGCAUAGUCCCCGUAUAAUACUUUCUGCUUGCUUGAAAUAUAGCAUCGCCCUCAGCAUAAAAAUGAUGAAACAUUGAAAAAUGCUAAUCAUGUGCUGAACGGUUUCGCAAUUUAACCCCUUACAGAUAUCAUCUAGGUAUAUUCACCUGUAAGACUAAUUAUUGGGAUCUGGAUACGGGAGUAUAUUCAAGAGGUGGGACAUAUGAAUGAGUUUAAGUUCUUAAAACACUUAAUUCGUAUCCUGAAUCAGUUGAAGUUUGUGUGAAAAUUUAAGUGGAUCAGUAUAUCGACAAUCUAAGUGAAUUGUUUAAUUCUUAAUGUCCAACUAAGCUCAACGGUACUUGUGACUUGUCAAAAACUGAUAUGAUCCUCUGACGCGAACUCAAACAAAAAUAUUGUAUGUAAAUAUGUUUGUAAAUAUUUCUUUACUGCUUUGUAUUUCAAAAAAUACAAAAAGUAUUUUUGAUUCUGCUUUAUUUUCGACAACCGAUGUCUGAGAUGCUGAGUGUCAAAAUCUAAGUAAGUUGAUUGUGUUUCUGAACAUAAAACAAGUUCAUUAAUUUGAAACUUGAUUUUAAUCAAAAAUCAAAAACAGUUUGUGAUAUCUCCAAGGUCAUUAGUUUGGACUUGGAUGAUUAACUAUGGGGGAUUUGGAUGCUUAUAUUGUUAUAGAGCUAGUUUCCGAUUCGAUUCGGUGAAACUGCCAAAUUCAUGAGUAGUGUUAGUUUAGAAAAAUUGAGUGAGCCAGGUUAAUAUUCCUGGAUAUUUGAAAGUUUGAAAUGCUGUUACUUAUAAACGUAUGAGUGUUGCAGAUAUUGUACCAGACUACGAUCCCGAAAGCAGGGCCUAAGGGGGAGUCUGAAGACAAGCUCAAAGCAAGGGGGAGCUUGUAACCGGAAAGCUAGGUGUCGAUCCCUAAAGCACGAAAGCUUGAUGAAAGGGGGAGCCUGAAGAAGCUGAUAAAGCAAGAGCCAGAGUCAAAUUCUAGUAGAAUGAUAAAGAUAGAGCCAGGAUAAGAUUCUGAA